AACGUAGGAGACAAACGUUAUCCGGAGUUACUGGGCGUAAAGGGCGUGUAGGUGGUUUCGUAAGUCUGGCGUGAAAUUUUUCGGCUUAACCGGGAAAGGUCGUCGGAUACUGCAGAACUAGAGGACGGUAGAGGCGUGUGGAAUUCCGGGUGUAGUGGUGAAAUGCGCAGAUAUCAGGAGGAACACCGGUGGCGAAGGCGGGUCUCUGGGCCGAUACUGACGCUGAGGAGCGAAAGCGUGGGGAGCGAACAGG
rnacentral:rRNA from 1 species